CAGCCGCCGCGGGAAUACGAGGGGGGCAAGCGUUGUUCGGAAUUAUUGGGCGUAAAGGGUGCGUAGGCGGCUUGACAAGUCUUGUGUGAAAUCUAUGGGCUCAACCCAUAGUCUGCACGGGAAACUGUCGGGCUUGAGAAUGGGAGAGGUGAGUGGAAUUUCCAGUGUAGAGGUGAAAUUCGUAGAUAUUGAAAAGAACACCGGUGGCGAAGGCGGCAACCUGGUCUUUAACUGACGCUGAGGCGCGAAAGCGUGGGGAGCAAACAGGAUUAGAUACCCCCGUAGUCCCUGUCUCUUAUAC
rnacentral:rRNA from 1 species